rnacentral:rRNA from 2 species
CGCAUUAGCUAGUUGGUGAGGUAACGGCUCACCAAGGCAACGAUGCGUACCCAACCUGAGAGGGUGAUCGGCCACACUGGGACUGAAACACGGCCCAAACUCCUACGGGAGGCAGCAGUAGGGAAUCUUCCGCAAUGGACAAAAGUCUGACGGACCACCGCCGCGGGAGUGAUGAAGGUUUUCGGAUCGUAAAACUCUGUUGUUAGGGAAAAACAAGUACCGUUCGAAUAGGGCGGUACCUUGACGGUACCUAACCAAAAAGCCACGGCUAACUACGUGCCAGCAGCCGCGGUAAUACGUAGGUGGCAAGCGUUGUCCGGAAUUAUUGGGCGUAAAGCGCGCGCAGGCGGUUUCUUAAGUCUGAUGUGAAAGCCCCCGGCUCACCCGGGGAGGGUCAUUGGAAACUGGGGAACUUGAGUGCAAAAAAGGAGAGUGGAAUUCCACGUGUAGCGGUGAAAUGCGUAAAGAUGUGGAGGACCACCAGUGGCGAAGGCGACUCUCUGGUCUGUAACUGACGCUGAGGCGCGAAAGCGUGGGGAGCGAACAGGAUUAGAUACCCUGGUAGUCCACGCCGUAAACGAUGAGUGCUAAGUGUUAGAGGGUUUCCGCCCUUUUAGUGCUGCAGCAAACGCAUUAAGCACUCCGCCUGGGGAGUACGGUCGCAAGACUGAAACUCAAAGGAAUUGACGGGGGGCCCGCACA